rnacentral:misc_RNA from 1 species
CGUGCCCUGCACUUGGGGAAAUGGGCUAGCCUUAAAAGCAUUAGCAAACCUUGAUAAUCUACUCGGCGUAUUAAUGAUACAUGAACCGCAGAGGACAUUGUUAUCGGUUGCUUUCUAAUCUGGCAUUGGUGGUUCUUAGGAAUCCGUCAACCAUCUUCAGAUUUGACCUCGAAUCAGGUGGGACUACCCGCUGAACUUAA